rnacentral:misc_RNA from 1 species
UCUCCGUAGGUGAACCUGCGGAGGGAUCAUUACAAGUGACCCCGGUCUAACCACCGGGAUGUUCAUAACCCUUUGUUGUCCGACUCUGUUGCCUCCGGGGCGACCCUGCCUUCGGGCGGGGGCUCCGGGUGGACACUUCAGACUCUUGCGUAACUUUGCAGUCUGAGUAAACUUAAUUAAUAAAUUAAAACUUUUAACAACGGAUCUCUUGGUUCUG